GCUUCCGAGAGAGAACCACCUCUGGAAAGAAGGAAGCGAGGAAGAGAGAGCCCUGGUGCACACGAGAAUUUAGAGUUCCAGAAGAGGAGGAGGAUCCAGCAAAGGCAACUGGGAAGGAGUGACUUGGAAGCCGCAGGCCCUGCACGGCUAACUGACCAGCGCACGCCAACACUGCCCCCAACUUUGUGUAACUGACGGUCUUGCGGCUUCAUCCAGGUCACAGUGGAAUCAGAAUUCGAAUCUCCUCUGCUGGCCUCCAUACUUCCAGCUGCACUCCAUGCCUCCAAGCCCAGAACUAGAGAAGUAGCAGAAGGAAUAGGAAGGAGGGCACAGAUAUGAGGAUGCUCCCAAAGAACAGAAUUUGGAACUAAGAGUCAGCCUCUGUCCAGUUCAGACGGGACAAGACCGCCAACCCACCAACUGUGCCUGCUCAGGUGUCCAGUAGGUGAACUCCUGACUUUAGGGAACUAAACAUUCCACCCUCGGAUCAUGCUAAUGCCACCAUUUUGUGACCAUGCAUCCUGUGAAGAGCCAUGAAGCCUGGCUACACUUGUGCAGAUCAACAAUUACCUCACUCCUCCUUGCCUCGAACCAUCUGUCACCAUACUUUAGACCACUUUGCCAGAUUAUCCCAUAAAUAUCCCUAAUCCCCAUGUUUUGGAGAAGCAGAUUUGGGAUUUGUUCUCCUGCCUCCUCACUUGGCUGCCUUGUGAAUAAACCUUUUGUCUGCAGCAAACUUGUCUUGGUGAUUGGCUUUUUGUGGGAUGGGUAAAAUUAACCUGGUUUGGUAACAUAGUCACCAGGCUAGACCAAAAAUGUGGACCUGCC
rnacentral:lncRNA from 1 species